CGAAAUAAGGCAAAAUUUGCCACAAGACACCGUUAAAAGGUGAACUUUGCUAUAAACCACUAAAAAAUUUUGUCACUGCUGGGAGACACUGAUAAAUCUUGUACAUUUGGCACAGGACACUUCAUGAAUUAUUCUAUCUGAUUUAAUUCAAGAGCCACGGGAAAUGACUAGUUUGCCCCUCCUACCUUAUCUUCUCCCGCAUGCCAUUUUCUUUCUCCAGAAACUAUCGCAUCGCAGAGAAGUUCGCGAACGGAGCUAGCGGCGCCGAUUCCUCCAGCGCGCAGCCCCUCCCCGACGACGGCCGCGCGUGGUAGGGGCCCUUUGCGACAAGCCUUCCCCGGUGUGCAUCUCACCGCCACAUCGCCGAGCUCGAGCAGCAGCAGCUAGCCGCACGCGUGAGCUAGCGUGCCGCCGCGAGGACGAGUGGCUCCGCUGGAGCGCGAGGCCGGGGCAGCCAAGAAGCGGCAGGCGCGCACAGCCGACGAGGAUGGCCACCCCGAGGCCCCGUGCGGAGCGCCGCUGAAGCCUGAAGGUCUCCAGACAAUUCACUAAACCAGUGAUUUGAGCACUGAAAAUGGCCUGCGGGAGGAGAAGACAAGGCAGCAGGGCAAAUUAGUCAUAUCCCGUGGCUCUUCUAUUAAAUCGGAUAGAAUAAUAGAUGUAGUGUCCUGUGGCAAAUGUACAUGAUUUAUCAGUGUCUCCCAGCAGUGACAAAAAAUCUUAGUGGUUUAUAGCAAAGUUCACCUUUUAACGGUGUCUUGUGGCAAAUUUUGCCU